GACGAACGCUGGCGGCGUGCUUAACACAUGCAAGUCGAACGGAAAGGCCCUGCUUUUGUGGGGUGCUCGAGUGGCGAACGGGUGAGUAACACGUGAGUAACCUGCCCUUGACUUUGGGAUAACUUCAGGAAACUGGGGCUAAUACCGGAUAGGAGCUCCUGCUGCAUGGUGGGGGUUGGAAAGUUUCGGCGGUUGGGGAUGGACUCGCGGCUUAUCAGCUUGUUGGUGGGGUAGUGGCUUACCAAGGCUUUGACGGGUAGCCGGCCUGAGAGGGUGACCGGCCACAUUGGGACUGAGAUACGGCCCAGACUCCUACGGGAGGCAGCAGUGGAGAAUAUUGCACAAUGGGCGGAAGCCUGAUGCAGCAACGCCGCGUGCGGGAUGGCGGCCUUCGGGUUGUAAACCGCUUUCGCCUGUGACGAAGCGUGAGUGACGGUAAUGGGUAAAGAAGCACCGGCUAACUACGUG
rnacentral:rRNA from 1 species